CCACUCCCUGCAAAUGUAAACAUUGUGAGGAGGAUGCAGAGAGGCUUCAGUGAGAUAUCGACAAGCUGAGCGAAUGGACAGAGACUUGAUAAAUGGAAUAUAAUGUGGAAAAAUACAAAGUCAUCUACACUGGUAAAACAGGAGAAUAAUGGAGUGGCUGGACACUGAUGCAGCACAGAAAGCAUCCUAUCCGAAUACAUCACGGCUUGGUAUGGC